CUGACUGCUAUCGGAUUGAUACUAAGCCAUGCGAGUCGUUGUAGCAAUACAAGGCAUACGGCUCAGUAACGCGUAGUCAACCUAACCUAUGGACGGGAAUAACCUCGGGAAACUGAGAAUAAUGCCCGAUAGAACAUUAUGCCUGGAAUGGUUUAUGUUCCAAAUGAUUUAUCGCCAUAGGAUGGGACUGCGGCCUAUCAGUUUGUUGGUGAGGUAAUGGCCCACCAAGACUAUUACAGGUACGGGCUCUGAGAGGAGUAGCCCGGAGAUGGGUACUGAGACACGGACCCAGGCCCUAUGGGGCGCAGCAGGCGAGAAAACUUUGCAAUGUGCGAAAGCACGACAAGGUUAAUCCGAGUGAUUUCUGCUAAAGAGAUCUUUUGUUAGUCCUAGAAACACUAACGAAUAAGGGGUGGGCAAGUUCUGGUGUCAGCCGCCGCGGUAAAACCAGCACCUCAAGUGGUCAGGAUGAUUAUUGGGCCUAAAGCAUCCGUAGCCGGCUCUGUAAGUUUUCGGUUAAAUCUGUACGCUCAACGUACAGGCUGCCGGAAAUACUGCAGAACUAGGGAGUGGGAGAGGUAGACGGUACUCGGUAGGAAGUGGUAAAAUGCUUUGAUCUAUCGAUGACCACCUGUGGCGAAGGCGGUCUACCAGAACACGUCCGACGGUGAGGGAUGAAAGCUGGGGGAGCAAACCGGAUUAGAUACCCGGGUAGUCCCAGCUGUAAACUAUGCAAACUCAGUGAUGCAUUGGCUUGUGGCCAAUGCAGUGCUGCAGGGAAGCCGUUAAGUUUGCCGCCUGGGAAGUACGUACGCAAGUAUGAAACUUAAAGGAAUUGGCGGGGGAGCACCACA
rnacentral:rRNA from 1 species